CUUUUGUAUCAGGGUUUAUCAAAAUUUUAGUAUUUAUUUUACUUGUCUCGAUUUGGGUUGAUUUAUAAAUAAUUUAUAGUUAAUGUAUCAUAAUUAUUAUUAAAUUAUUUAUAGAAAUGAGAUGUUAAUCGUUUCCCAAGAUAUCUAGUUUCUUAAGAAAAAAUUUAAUUUCUUAAAGUUAUUUGUUUUUAUUUAAUUUUUUAAGUAAAAAUAUUAACUUAUUUAUUCUUUAAGGGAUAAGCUUUGAAGUUAAUAACCUAUAAUUUUUUUUAUAGAAAUAUAAUAGUAAGCUUUAAACCAGCUAUCUUUAAGAUUACGUUUUAGUUCAUUAUUUUUUAUUUUGAUUUUAUAAAUAUUUUAGGUUUUUUAUUGAGAUUAUUAAUUUAAUUUUAAAAUUUUUGUAAUAAUGAUAGAAUUAGUAUAUUUAUUUGUAUGAAAUUUUUACCUUGUGAACUUAUUAUAAGGAACUAGGCAAAAUUGAUUUCCGCCUGUUUAUCAAAAACAUGUCCUCUUGUUUAUAUUUUGAGGUCUGGCCUGCUCACUGAGCGUAUUUUUAAAGAGCCGCGGUAUUUUGACCGUGCAAAGGUAGCAUAAUCAUUAGUCUCUUAAUUAGUGGCUGGAAUGAAUGGCUUGACGAGAAAUCAACUGUCUCUUAACAAAUUUUUGAAUUUAACUUUUGAGUCAAAAGGCUUAAAUUCUUCUUUAGGACGAGAAGACCCUAUAGAGCUUGACAUUUUACUUUUAUAUAGUUUUUUGUUUGUCUUUCUAUAUUUAAUGAUGAUGUUUUGUUGGGGUGACAUGAAGAAUAGAUAAACUCUUCAUUAUUAUAUCAUUUAUUUAUGUUUGUUAUUUUGAUCCAUAAUUUAUGAUCAUCAGAUUAAGUUACCUUAGGGAUAACAGCGUAAUUUUUUUU